CGACCUCUGAUCAGACUUGGUGACCCAUUGAACAUAAACAUAUUACCAAGUGGAGGAAAAUAAACUAACCAGGAUUCCAUCAGUAAAAGCAAAUGAACAGGGAAAAACCAGUGCUGAAUCCCCUUCCAGGAGACAGGUGCUGGGAAAAUGUGUUGUACGGAAGUUCAUCUCCCAGGGGGCCCAAGUCCUUGUGAUCAAGACUCAGCCCUUGGAUGGUGUGAGACUGGUGGUGGCCCUUGGUGCUUUGGGAUCAGGUCUUCCUGGAGUUAGGUUGUUUGUGAAGGCAACCCAAAGCAGGUGGUAAACUCCAGCUAAGGCUAAACACCAGCAUGAGACUGAUAGUGAACAGGUACUGUAAGGGAAAGUUGAAAAGAACUUUGAAGAGUGAGUUCAAGAGGCCAUGAAACUGUUCAGAGGUAAAUGGGCGGGGUCCGCAUGGUCCACCCGGAGGAUUCAACUCGGUGGCCAUGUGUGGCCUCCCGUGUAAGGCAGAUUCCCUUUUCCCUCCAAGGUUGGAGGACCAUCCCCGGGCAUGCUGCCUGCCAUCAGGUGCAUUUCCUCUGCGGCAAUGUACCGCAACUGGCUUUGGGUCAGCCGGGAAGGCCACACUGUAGGUGCCUUCCCUCUCCAGAGGGAGUGUUACAGCUCAUGACAUCAGCUCUCACCGUACCCUGGAGUCAUGGAAAAUGGCUGGGGCACCCAACCCUGCUCUCGUGGUGGGGCCAGGGUCCCCCCAUUCCCAGAUGGACUGUUGACUGGACUGGACUGUCCUCUGUGCUGACCAACCUCAUCCUGCCACCUGGCCCGGGGUUCACUACAACAUCGUUGGCCCACCCAUCCCAUCUUGAAACAUGGACCAAGGACUCUAACAGAUGCAUGAGUCGAAGGGUGGGCAGGAGAUGCCACAAUGCAAUGGAAGUGAGGGCCAGUGCAUGCUGGCUGUGGCAGGAUCCCCCCAUCCCACACAGGGGCGCACCGCCACCCCAUCUCAACCAUCCCAUCAGGAAGGUGGACCAUCAGCAUACCUGGUGGGACCCAAAAGAUGGUGAACUAUCCCUGGGCAGGGCAAAGCCAGAGGAAACUAUGGUGGAGGUCUGUAGAGGUUGUGAUGUGCAAAUUGGUCAUCUGAUCUGGGUAGAGGGGUGAAAGACUAAUCAUACCAUCUAGCAGAUGGUUCCCUCCAAAGUUUCCCUAAGGAUAGCUGGCCUAGGCGGAUGCAUUUUUAUCUUGUAAAGUGAAUGAUUAGAGGUCUUGGGGCUCAAACGAUGUCAACUUAUUUUCAAACUUCAAAUGGGUAAAAAGCCUGACUCACUCACUUGAAACUGACCAUGGAAUGCGAGUCCAGUGGGCCACUUUUGGUAAGCAGAGCUGUCACUACAGGAUGAGCUAAACACCGGGCUAAGGCACCCCAAUGUUGAGGCACAUCAGACCUCCAAAAAGUUGUUGGUUGAUACAGUCAGCAGGAUGGUGGCCAUAGAAGUCAGAAUCCACUAAGAAGUGUGUAAGAACUCACCUGCCCAAUCAACAAGCCAUGAAAAUGGAUGGGGCUGAAGUGUUAGACCCAUUCCUGGCCAUCACUGGCACUGGGAGCCAAGGGGUCUAUGCAGUGAUGAAUAGGAGGGCUGCCACGGUGGCAAUGAAGCACAGGGUGAGGGCCCAGGUGGAGCCGCCACAGGUGCAGAUCUUGGUGGUAGUAGCAAAUACUCAAAUGAGAGCUUUGAAAGCUGAAGUGGAGAAGAGUUUCAUGUGAACAGCAGUUGAACAUGGGUCAGUUGGUCCUGAAGGAUAGGAGAGCACUGUUCCAAAGGGAUGGGCGAUGGCCUCCAUUGCCCUUGGCUGAUCAAAAAGGAGUCGGCCUCAGAUCCCCGAAUCCGGAGCAGUGGAAAUGGACACCUUGUGGCGUCAAGUGUGGUGACACAAAUGAUCCCUGAGAAGCCACUGGGGGCCCCUGGGAGAGUUCUCUUUUCUUUGUAAAGGGCAGGGUGCCCUGGAAUGGGUUCACCAUGAGAGAGGGGCCUGUGCCCUGGAAAGCACUUUGUUUCUGAUGGCAUCAGGUGAGCUCUCGCCAGUCCUUGAAAAUCCAGGGGAGAGGGUGUAAGUCUCAUGCCGGGCCAUACCCAUAGCAGCAGAAGGUCUCCAAGGUGAACAGCCUCUGGCAUGUUAGAACAAUGUAGAUAAGAAAAGUCAGCAAGCCAGAUCCAUAUUUUUGGGAUAAGGAUUGGCUCUAAGGGCUGGGUCAGUCAGGCUUUGGCAUGAAGUGGGGCAUGGCGCAUUCCGUGGCUGGAUGAGGUGUCACCCCCUUGCCAUGCUCACCCUUCCUGGGAGGGCUAGGCAGAGUCAGUGGUGACUCUUAAUGAGGGCGUCCCUUCCUGUCUAUCAACCUGGCUGUGGCAGGCAACAGUCCUGACCGCCAUCUCACAUCAUCUGGCAGCUAGCAGUUGACUUAGCACUGGUGCAGACCAGGGGAAUCUGACUGUUUAAUUAAAACAAUGCAUCCCGAAGGCCUCAGAAGGGUUUUGAUGCAAUCUGAUUUCCCAGUGCUUUGAAUGUCAAAAUGAAGAAAUUCAGUGAAGCGCGGGUAAAUGGCCUGGAUGAACUAUGACUAUCUUAAGGUAGCAAAAUGCAUCAUUAUCUAAUUAGUGACAUGCAUGAAUGGGUAAACAAGAUUCUCACUGUCCCUAUUUACUAUCUAGUGAAACCACAGCCAAGGGAAUGGACUUGGCAGAAUCAGCAGAGAAGAAAGACCCUGUUGAGCUUCAGUCUAGUCUGGCACUGUGAAGAGACAUGAGAGGUGUAGAAUAAGUGGGAGGCCUUGGCCACUGGUGAAAUACCACUACUCUUAUAAUUUUUUCACUUACAUGGUGAGGCAGAGGGGCAAGCCCCACUCAGGCUCUUGCUUCUGGCUCCAAGCACCCAGGCAUCUGGGCAUGACCCGCUAUGGGGACAGUGUCACAUGGGAAGUUUUACUGGGGUGAGACACCUGUCAAAGAGUAAUGCAGGUGUCCUAAGGUGAGCUCAGGGAGGACAGAAACCUCCCAUGGAGCAGAAGGGCAAAAGCUCAGUUGAUCUUGAUUUUUGGUAUGAAUAUAGACCGUGAAAGUGGGGCCUCAUGAUCCCUCUGGCUUUAUGGGUUUUAAGCAGGAGGUGUUACAAAAAGUUACCACAGGGAUAACUAGCUUGUGGUGGCCAUGCAUUCAUAGCGAUGUCACUUUUUGAUCCUUUGAUGUUGGCUCUUCCUAUCAUUGUGAAGCAGAAUUCACUAAGCAUUGGAUUGUUCACCCACUAAUAGGGAAUGUGAGCUGGGAUUAGAAUAUCAUAAGAGAGGUUAGUUUUAGCCUACUGAUGAUGUGUCGUUGCAACAAUAUUCCUCAGUAUGAGAGAUACUGCAGGUUCAGACAUUUGGUGUAUGUACUUGGCUGAAGAGCCAAUGGUGCAAAACUACCAUCUGUGGGAUUAUGACUGAAUCCCUUUAAGUCAGAAUCCCACCCAAACAUAACAAUACGGUAGUGCCAUGGAUCUCCAUUUGGCCAGGGAUAGCCAGCUGGAAGGUCAUCGAGGAGUGCCGCUCGUCACAGGGUUGGAGCAUGGACAGAAAGGGGUUGCCUCUCUCCAGCAGUGCACUGCAUGCUCAUGGGAAACCGGUUGCUAAAUCAUUCAUAGAUGACCUGAUUCUGGGUCAGGGUUUCUUAUGUAGCAGAGCAGCAAAAAGCUGCGAUCUACUGAAAGUCAGCCCUCGAGCCUGAGUUAAGA